ACCGACUAAUGUUGAAAAAUUAGCGGAUGACUUGUGGCUGGGGGUGAAAGGCCAAUCAAACCGGGAGAUAGCUGGUUCUCCCCGAAAGCUAUUUAGGUAGCGCCUCGUGAAUUCAUCUCCGGGGGUAGAGCACUGUUUCGGCAAGGGGGUCAUCCCGACUUACCAACCCGAUGCAAACUGCGAAUACCGGAGAAUGUUAUCACGGGAGACACACGGCGGGUGCUAACGUCCGUCGUGAAGAGGGAAACAACCCAGACCGCCAGCUAAGGUCCCAAAGUCAUGGUUAAGUGGGAAACGAUGUGGGAAGGCCCAGACAGCCAGGAUGUUGGCUUAGAAGCAGCCAUCAUUUAAAGAAAGCGUAAUAGCUCACUGGUCGAGUCGGCCUGCGCGGAAGAUGUAACGGGGCUAAACCAUGCAC
rnacentral:rRNA from 1 species